rnacentral:rRNA from 1 species
UACGGAGGAUCCAAGCGUUAUCCGGAAUCAUUGGGUUAAAGGGUCCGUAGGUGGAUAAUUAAGUCAGGGGUGAAAGUCUGCAGCUCAACUGUAGAAUUGCCUUUGAUACUGGUUAUCUUGAAUUAUUAUGAAGUAGUUAGAAUAUGUAGUGUAGCGGUGAAAUGCAUAGAUAUUACAUAGAAUACCGAUUGCGAAGGCAGAUUACUAAUAAUAUAUUGACACUGAUGGACGAAAGCGUGGGGAGCGAACAGGAUUAGAUACCCUGGUA